AUGCAGAGACAUUCACAGUGCCAGUGCGCCGCGCGCCUGCCAGGCGUCGUUUCGCAUCGCUGCCAGGCCUCGUGCUCUGCUCUCCUUGUGCUAUGGAUGAAAGAAAGCAUUUCAUUUUACGUCACGGCUGGACGUAAAAGAACGAAGCGGCAGAGGUCUACGGCUGCAGGAUUUCUCCAGGGAACAUCUUGCCGUCACGCUUCACUGGAGUCUGAAGAGCGCCAGGGAAACCCUGACUGCAGGAGCGGGACGAGAGCUGAGACGAGAAAAGAGACAGAGCGUGAGGGAAUGAACGCAGCGGCGCGUGUGUGCGCGAGGCUCUGUGGGAGAGAAACAGACAGUGCUUUAGGGAGUAGCAAAGAUGACAGAACACUCAAGAAUGACUCACAGAUGGAGAACGCACAUGAAGACGAGGGCUUGGAAAGGGGAAGCCAGCGAACAGCGUGAGCAGUGCAGUGCUGGAGCAUAUGAGGGCAAGAAGGACUCCCACACACACACACACACACACACACACACACACACACACACACACACACACACACACACACACACACACACACGUUAAGAGCAUACCAGCACUGUGUGUGCGUUAAGAAGGUUGGGUUUCUAAAUGACAGAUCAUUAUCAUGCUAAUUAAAGCAUUUUGUAGCUGUGACUCGUGCAGUAUUUGUGUGUGUGUGUGUGUCUAAUUAAGGCCGGUUCAUCAGCGCCCAGCUCAUUUACACCAUGCUAGAGCGACACCCUGAUUCAAGCACACGGACAGUAAUGAAGCUACUAAUUAUUAUGGCACUUUAACAUAUUUAGCCUUAACUGAGCCAACCCUGAACAGCUGAACCACCUCAACUGAACCAUGAACCCAACAAAGCUUCAGUAGUUCAACACAACCUAGCACAGCUGAGCCACCCAAACACAAUCCAACACAUGCAGAUAAACACGUCUACACGUCUGAACUACACCAAAACAUUUCCUUUUUUGGACUACAAAAAGGCUUUCAUGAACAAAAUGCACCCAGCAUGUCCCAAAUUCAAUUCAUCCACAAAAUGCAUGCAUUUUAUGAUAUGCUUAACAAUACACAAUGUUCUACAUUUGAAGAAGAUCAAUCUAGUUUUCAUGUUUUUUUU
ensembl:lncRNA